GCAGCCAUGGGUGGGGGAUCCUCCGGCGUGUGUGCUGCGGCGCUCACCGUUUCCUCAUCGACCGCCAUCAGGAACCGGGAGCCGUGCCGGGCUUUCCCGAGGCCAGGUGGCAAUCGAGGCCAGGUGGAUGGCCCCACGGCGUGGAAGGGCUCACCGAGCUCUUCUGGAAGACGUCCCGGUAAAGGCAGUUGUGAAAGCCGGCCUCUGCCUGUCUGGAACGGGACCCUCAUUUCCCUGAACCAUUAUCGAUUUACCUAAUAUGGGUACAGCCGACCUAAUAGACGGCAGUCCACAUCUAUCUCAGAAUUGUUCUCCAGCCUCGAAAAUGCAUCUUGAGAAGAAUAAGGAAGAAAGGCCAUUGUUUUUGUUGUUUAGUCUAGGCAAGCCAAGAUGCCCAAGCUAGAAGAGACCUUCAGGGUGCCCUUUUCAGCCUAUUUCAUGGAACUUCUGUGGGACGCGAGAAGAUGAGGAAGUGAGACUCCAGCCAUGUCGAAAAACAGAAUCAGGUUUGAAGCCUGCUCUUUCACCUCCCACCUAAAGUGAAUCAGCAGUUUCUGGUUCUUGGUCCAAGCUGCUGUGCAUCUCAGGACCGAUGCGGUGUGUCUGGUAGGCGUCCUCCUCCCAGACAAAGGAACUCGGCUGUGCCUGAGGUUUUUUUGACCCCUGAAUAUAAUAAACCAUGGAUGUCUCAGCUAGCUAGAGGGAAGCAUACCUGCUAACCAAAUACUUUGGAAGUAGAGGCAAGAAAGAAGAUCAAGAAUUCAAGACCUGCCUGGGCUACAAGCUGUCCAGUCUCAAAAUAAAUACAGUUCUAU